UACGUAGGGGGCAAGCGUUAUCCGGAUUUACUGGGUGUAUAGGGAGCGUAGGCGGUGAUGCAAGUCAGAAGUGAAAGCCCGCAGCUCAACUGCGGGACUGCUUUUGAAACUGUAUGACUAGAUUGCAGGAGAGGUAAGUGGAAUUCCUAGUGUAGCGGUGAAAUGCGUAGAUAUUAGGAGGAACACCAGUGGCGAAGGCGGCUUACUGGACUGUAAAUGACGCUGAGGCUCGAAAGCGUGGGGAGCAAACAGG
rnacentral:rRNA from 1 species